rnacentral:misc_RNA from 1 species
GAUGAAGAACGUAGUGAAACGCGAUAGGUAAUGUGAAUUGCAGAAUUCCGUGAAUCAUCGAAUCUUUGAACGCACAUUGCGCCUGCUGGUAUUCCGGUAGGCAUGCCUGUUUGAGCGUCAGCAAAACUCCUCAGCAAAUUAUUGCUGGUUAUGGGUACGGAGCAGACCUUGCAGUCGCUUCUGCUUUAAACUUGCUGCACGACCGCAAGCUUAUGCUAGGUUAAUGGAGUGGUGUUUACAAUAUUAUAUUCCGGCUGCCUUUAGUAUAGUGAGUGGCGUUAAACCUGAUGUUGCCUCGGCUGCAACUGAAGUUUGACCUCAAAUCAGACAAGGAUACCCGCUGAACUUAAGCAUAUCAAUAAGCGGAGGA